rnacentral:rRNA from 1 species
GACGAACGCUGGCGGCGUGCUUAACACAUGCAAGUCGAGCGGUAAGGCCCUUUCGGGGGUACACGAGCGGCGAACGGGUGAGUAACACGUGGGUGACCUGCCCUCAGCUCUGGGGAUAAGCCCGGGAAACUGGGUCUAAAUACCGGAUAUGACUUCAUGACGCAUGUUGUGGAGUGGAAAGCCUUGUGCGGCUGAGGAUGGGCCCGCGGCCUAUCAGCUUGUUGGUGGGGUGAGGCCUACCAAGGCGACGACGGGUAGCCGGCCUGAGAGGGCGACCGGCCACACUGGGACUGAGAUACGGCCCAG